AUGCCGUUGGAGCAGCCCGCGUCCGCCCGGCGCGCCCCCACCUUCCACGCGCAUCCUGAGGCCGACGCGAGGCAGCUCCUCGGCGCGCUCCUGCCGCGGCGCGCGGCCACCGCCCGCCACGUCCAGCAGGCGCACGCCCGCCUCGCCGUCCUCGGCCUCGCCACCGCGCGCGUCCUCCCGCACCUCCUCGCCGCCCUCCCCCGCAUCCCGCCGCUCCACGACGGCGCCUCCUCCUCCUCCUCCUCCUACCCGCUCUCCCUGUUCCGCGUCUCCAACUCCUCCUCCGCCUUCGCGUCCAACCACCUCCUCCGCGUGCUCCCCCACCCGCUCCCGCUCCGCCUCUUCCCCGGCCUCCGGCGACGCAACCCCCACUCCUUCACCUUCCUCCUCUCCUCCCUCUCCACCCACCUCGACGCCGACCGCGCCGGCGGCCCGGCCUCCUCCUCUCUUGGCUCCCACGUGCACGCGCUGGCCGUGAAGGCGGGCGCGGCGGGUGAUCUCUACGUGCGGAACGCGCUCACGCACUUCUACGGCGUCUGCGGCGACGUGGGAGCGAUGCGGAGGGUGUUCGACGAGCUGCCGCGCAUGCGGGACGUCGUGACCUGGAACGCGGUCCUUGCAGGGUACGUGCGAGCGGGCAUGGCGAGGGUUGCACGAGCGUUGUUUGAUGAAAUGCCGGUGAGAGAUGAGGUGUCUUGGAGCACCGUGGUGGGCGGGUAUGUGAAGGAAGGGGAGCUGGACGUGGCCCUGGCGGUGUUUAGGGAUAUGGUGGAGAAGGGGGUCAGGGUGAAUGAGGCUGCGGUUGUGACGGCGUUGUCGGCGGCCGCACAGCUGGGUUUGCUUGAGCAUGGCAGGUUUGUGCACCAGGUUGUCCAUCAAGAAGGGAUGCCGAUCAGUGUGAAUGUAGGGGCUGCCAUGGUGGAUAUGUAUGCCAAGUGCGGGUGUGUGGCACUGGCCAGGGAAGUUUUCGAUGGGAUGCCGAGGAGGGACGUUUUUGCAUGGAACGCCAUGAUCUGUGGACUUGCUGCUCAUGGGUUGGGACAGGAUGCAGUGGAACUCUUUGAACUGUUUCUCGGCGAGGGUUUGAGUCCAACGAACAUUACGUUUGUUGGCGUGCUAAAUGCCUGCAGCCGCUUUGGCCUUGUUGCUGAGGGGCGGCGCUAUUUUGAAUUGAUGGCUGAGAAAUAUUGUGUUGAGCCAGAAAUGGAGCAUUACGGCUGCAUGGUUGAUCUUCUAGGUCGGGCUGGUCUUGUUCAAGAAGCCAUUGAAUUGAUCGAAGGGAUGCCUAUUGCACCUGAUCCGGUUCUCUGGGGCACUGUACUCUCGGCUUGCAAGAAACAUGGCCUGGUGGACUUGGGGGUCAAGGUUGGUAACAAGCUAAUUGAACUGGAGCCAGCUCAUGAUGGCAACUAUGUCCUCCUUGCAAGUAUAUAUGCGAAGGCAAAGAAAUGGGAUGAAGUCAGGGAAGUCAGGAAACUGAUGUCUAGUCGGGGUACCAGCAAGUCAGCUGGCUGGAGCUUGAUGGAAGCACAAGGAAACGUGCAUAAGUUUCUAGUAGGAGACAUGGAUCACAAGGAUUCCGUUCAGAUAUAUAACAUGCUCGACAUGAUUAACAGAAGGUUGGCAGAUGCAGGGUACGUACCAGACGUGUCAUCUGUAUUGCAUGACAUUGGAGAUGAAGAGAAGGUGCAUGCAAUCAAGGUGCACAGCGAGCGUCUGGCAAUUGCUUAUGGGUUCAUAGUUACGGAAGUUGGCAACCCAAUCCGUAUUGUUAAGAACCUUCAGGUGUGUGGGGAUUGUCAUGAAUUCAGUAAGAUGGUGACAAAGGUUUUCAAUAGGGAGAUUAUUGUGAGAGAUGGCAGUAGAUUCCAUCAUAUGAAAGAAGGGAAAUGUUCUUGCCUUGACUAUUGGUAG
rnacentral:rRNA from 1 species